rnacentral:tRNA from 1 species
GGAGGGUAUAUAGCUCAGUGGUAGAGUGCGUGUUUACCAUGCACGAGGUCCUGGGUUCAAUCCCCAGUACCUCCA